AGAGAGGGAGGGACCAGGAUGGGGAGAGAGGGAGAAAGGAAAGUGAGGGGAAGCGAGAGAGAGUUAGUGGGGGAAGAUAUAUAGAGACACACAGGAGAGAGACUGAGCAGGAUGCUGCAGUUCUAGCUGCAUUGGCUUUCUGAUGGGAUGAGAGAUAGACUGGGGAUCGGUGGUGGAGGUGGAAGAGACAGACUGGGGAUCGGUGGUGGAGGUGGAAGAGACAGACUGGGGAUCGGUGGUGGAGGUGGAAGAGAUAGACUGGGGAUCGGUGGUGGAGGUGGAAGAGAUAGACUGGGGAUCGGUGGUGGAGGUGGAAGAGAUAGCGGCCACCUAAUGGCUGUGGCUCAUUUUGUGGAUCCGGCAGUGGGUUAAGGGUGUGAAGUGGUACACUUCCUAAUGGCUAAAUGAUCAGCUACAGCUAAUUGAACAAGGCUGUGAGUGGGGAGCACCAAGGGCAGCGCACAGCGGGCAGCUGAGUGCACCGGAGCCAGUUAUACACUGAGGGCCAAGACGACCCUGAAUAACAAAUGACAGAUCACACAAUAAAGAGGUGAUACUCCAGAAGAUGGGUCCGGAAGGGAAUGGAAAGGUAGACAGAGAGAACGUGAGAGGGUGGACGAGGAGGGAGUGGCAGUGAACACGAGGAAGACUGGGGGAAA
ensembl:lncRNA